rnacentral:rRNA from 1 species
GACGUAGGGUGCGAGCGUUGUCCUGAUUUAUUGGGCGUAAAGAGCUCGUAGGCGGCUCGUCGCGUCAGCUGUGAAAACCCGCAGCUUAACUGUGGGCUUGCAGCUGAUACGGGCGGGCUAGAGUUCGGUAGGGGAGACUGGAAUUCCUGGUGUAGCGGUGAAAUGCGCAGAUAUCAGGAGGAACACCGGUGGCGAAGGCGGGUCUCUGGGCCGAUACUGACGCUGAGGAGCGAAAGCGUGGGGAGCGAACAGG